GUCAACAGUCACCAUCCUUCUAAAGUAGCUACGGGGAGGUAGAGGUUGGGAGAGAAGGAGACAAAGAGAAGAAAAUCAGGAUAUGCAGGCGUAUGUGUGCAGGAGGCAAAUCCUCAAGCAUUUGGAUCUGCAAAGAUUUAGGAGGGUCUUUCUGAUAGAAGGAUUUUUGGCCAAGAGCUGGAAGACUGGGGCUAUAGGCAAACAAGAGCCCAGUUCAAUAACUCAUUAUUAGACACCUACUAUAUGCCAGCCCCUGCUCCUCACGGGGCAGAUGAAGGAAAAGUUAUUGCGAUCGAGGUGUUGGCACCGGGAAGAUAAACGUGGAGCCCUGCCUCUCUCCACCGCUGAGCAGAACGUUAUGGGCUGGGUUCUUUCUACUGGAGCCCUUUCCAUGGUGUACCCAGCUGUGCUCCACCCAGAAACCUCUUCCCCAGGAUGGCAAAAGAAUGGGAACCUGUGCACUCGGCUGCUUGCUGAUGAGCUUCUCAGAGGAAAUCUGGUUUUGUUUUGUGUGGCACAAGUACUUAUGUCCCUGUUGCAGGUCUGGACAAUGGCGAACCAGGUGAGCAGUGCUGGGAGGGUGCCCCCUGGGACUUAGGAGCAGAGUGUGCAGGGAGGAGGGUGCUCAGGCACCGUUUGAAGAUGUCUGCAGUUAUCUGCUAUCAGAGCAGGGAUCAGUCCUGAAUUCUGAGAAGCGGCCUGAUGGUUCCCAGGAAAAACUAAUCACUGAGUAACCAGGAGGCAGAACUCAUGGUAAUACUAGUACAAUAGGAGUCUAGAAACCCAGCUUACAGCACAUGGGCUACUGGAGUUUGAAAACAGAGGUAGGCAGGUGGGGAUACACACACAGCACUGGAGGUAAGAAGAAACUAGAACAGCAAACAUCUCCCUGGUGUGCAAUGUGCAUGCACAGACCUGGCUGGGAAGAGCUGACAGUGUCCAGGGCAGGUUCAGACACGAGCAGUCCUGGGUCUUUGUUCAGGGCUGAGUAUGUUUAGAGUGUGGGGCAGGGGGUGGGGAAGUGCAUGUCUGCACAAGGUACCAGAACUAGGCAGAAGCCAGGGUCAGUCAGGCCGAACUUGCCGGGAAGGCCAGAAAAGAGGUCAGCCCUGGUGGUGGGCUAGGCAGAACCUUCAGAGGGUAGACAGGAGUCUGAGAUCCUUGCAGAGGGUCACAGGUACAGAGAGCGGGAGGUGAUGUUAUCCGAGGUCAGCUUAUGGAGGAUUGAAAGCUCAGCAAACUUCCAAGAAGGUAAAGAGGUUCGAGGCAGAUGAAUCAUAAAAUACAGGGGAGAGCACCUGCGGAGCCCUGGCUUGGACAAGGUCUCCUGCUGAGAGAGGUCUUGUCUUCUGCAUAGCCCCUAAAAAUCCAGUUGUCCUUUCCUCAGGAUUUAGUUCGGAGGCACUAGAGGGUCUCAGCUAGUUAGGGAAGCUCAGUGUCUCUUGGGGAAGGACAGGGGAGGCAUUCCCCCAUUCACUUUGGUAUACUGGAAUCUGAAUUCCAAGCGAGCGCAUGGUCUUUGAGUGGAGUUCUGUUGGGGUAUUUAUCUCUGGGGCCUUUUGGCUAGAUCUUGGAAGGGUAGGGUCAUUCUGUAGGGA
rnacentral:lncRNA from 1 species